CGCAGAAAUCCUGUUGAUCGAGAAUUGAAAGCUUCAGUGUCAGCGAGAUAUGACUGGAGGAUGUACCUGUUUGUAGGAUUUUAUGGCAGGAACUAGGGUCAUGCGAAGUUGGGCUCUUUAACUUGUUGCAGCAUUGUAGUGCGAAGUUUCGUGUAAUAGUCGACCGAAGAGGUUGUUCAUGGAAGAGCUAAGCUCGGAGAAGUGCCAUGACCCUUAAAAUUCAUGUUACUGGAGAUGGUAUAAAUUUUGGCUAGUAGUCAUUGAGACAUGGCCGGGACGUGAUUUGGGUGUAAUUGUGAUGCACGUAGCGGAAGCUCCAUUUGUUUUGCAAUCAUUCCGUUGUGUGCUAGGUUGAUUAGCUCCCGAAAUUACUCACGCAGGUUACUGAGUGAGUCAUGCCUAGCGAAGUUAGAGUGGAGUUUUGUUAGUUUCAACUUCAGCGUAGCAACAUGCGGGUCGAAAUGAAUAACCCCUGUGCAUUACAAAUUUUAGUGAUCUGGAGUGAAAAUGGUUUAAACGAAUUAGAACUCUUUGAGGGUGGAACCUGAAUUUAAGGAAAACAUUUAGGAGCAAGUUCUCAGUGUGCGUAUGAUUUACAAGUUAAGGUGAUGCUCAGGCGAUUCUAAGGGCUUUUCGGCCUUGAAUCGUGAGCAAACAUACUCGGAUACACCAACACACGCAGCGAGCGAGCGAACGACAGAGAGAGAGAGAGAGAGAUUUCAUUCCUUUAGUAGGGUUAGAAAUUUUUCCUCUGGAUGUGUGGUUUGCAUGAAGGUAUAGAAGUUCUUAUUCGAUCAUCUUUCUUUUAUUUUGGAAAUAAAUGGCUGACUACUUUCGUGAUUAUGCCCAGAUCUAUCCUUGAUAUAUAGAUUUCCUGGUGAUGUACCGGAGUUAAGAAAAUUGGGCUAUUCUAUUCAGAGCUCGGUUUCAGUAGCAGCACAGUUGGAAAGAAUGGAUGGGAAUACGCUGCAGGUGAAGAAAGAUUUCGUACAGAAUCUUGAAGACAUGAGGUCAUAGAGCAGCUCUAAGUGACUCACCCUGCAACAUGCACAGGAGGAUUUUUGAGAUGAACAAUUACGCCAUUUAUUUAACAGGGAAACCAUAGCUGAUUUCCAUUUUGUUUCAGUUCAUUCCAAGAAUGGCAGAGGUACAGGUGAAGUAGGAAAAAAACUAUUAGACUUUGAAAAGGGAACUCACAAGUGAAGCCAUGGCGAACGAAACUGGCAAAAAGGGUUUUUUGAAAUCAAUAUCGGCAGGACCUUUAGGCAAAGUUUUCAGGCUACUAUGGUUUAUUUUAUUAUUCUUGAUGUUGUUCAUUCUCGGACUCUUGAAAGGUGCCAUCUUCGGGCCGUUGGCAGCCUUGAUCUUUCUCUCCGGAGUCACGCCAGUGGUGAUCGGACUUUGGCCAGUGCACGUGGUGGUCAUGUUUCGAACUAUCGCAACAACGAGGCAACUAGGAGCUGUAUUGAAGACGCUUAUUAUUUUGUUGCUACCAAUUCCACUGGUGAUCUGGCCAAUUGUAGCAGCAGUUGGAAGUAUAGUCACGGGCUUGGGUUAUGGAAUCGGUCAACCUUUGGUAGCAACUUUUGAAGCGGUGGGAGAAGGUAGAAAGAAGAAAUUCUAUCACGCCUUUGCGGAUGGCACUGUGAGCACUGUGACUGGAUCUUGUACUACUGUGCGGGACUUCUUUGACUUCGUCUAUCACUCUAUCUUAGAUUCCCUUGACGAGUUUCGUCUCGGGGAACCUAAAAAUGGCAAGCCUAUUGAAAUCACGUUACACGAGCUUCCUGUAUGUGCAUUGGUUGGAAUAUUAGGAGUAAUUGUGGACACUCCAGCAAUAGGUAUUGUGGCGUUUUGCAAAACACCAAUUAUGCUUUUCAAAGGAUGGCGGCGAAUAUUGGAAGACCUGGUGACUAGACACGGUCCGUGCUUGGAGGCGGCAUGUGUGCCUUUCGCUGGGCUUGCGUUGGUCUUUUGGCCCUUCGUAGUUGUGGCGUCUGCCCUCACUGCUUUCAUCUGCAGUCCAUUCCUUGGAUUGUACAGUGCUGUUGUGGUGUACCAGGAGAUGUCAUACAAAUGCGGGCUAAAUUAUAUAGUUGCUAUAGUGGCAGAGUUUGACGAAUACUCCAACGAUGUUCUUCAUACUCAUGAAGGAUCAUGUCUACCUAGGCCCAAAUAUCGAAAGAGCAGCUGGAAAGUAGAUGAAGCAGCUGGAAAAUCGGACAUCGAAGGCUCUCAGAGAGAACCUGAACGUAAGGCCGCCAUACCACAGCUCAACACUCAAAAGUCUCUCCGACACACUUUACAGGAAGUGAAGCUCGUGCAGAUUAUGGAUGCAUCCUUUCAAGCUAUGGAGGUUGAAGGGAAAACCUUAAUAAAUGCUGGCGUAUUGAAGCAGGCGGAUAUUGAUGCUGCGCUGAAGGGGAACAAGUCUGCGUUUAAAAUUAUGACAGUUGGGUUACCAGCGUAUAGCAAUCUACGUCUACUCGUGCGCUCGGCCAAAUCAAAUACCACUGGCUUUCUCUUAUAUGACGGAACCGAAGUCACCACGAGUAACAAGCCCAGAGAUCGCAUAUCAGACUGGUUUUUUGAACCACUUCUGACUAUUAAAGAUCAGUUACGGGCAGCUAAUCUGCAAGAAAGUGAGGAGCGUUUUCUUGAAAAACUUUGUCUGAUGGUUGGUGACACUCAGCGUAUAGAAAGCUGGGAAAAUGGCGGUGUAGGACCUGAAGAUGGUGUAAGAAAAGGAGAAUUACAAGCCAUGGCCCGACGGCUUCAGGGUAUUACCAACUCCAUUUCACGAUUACCUACGCACCGACGGCGUAUGGAGGCGUUAAUGAAGAACUUACAAGCGUAUAUGGAGUCACGCUCACAAGAAGGCGCUUUUGGAGAUAUUAGUCGUCAAAAAGACUCUCGAGACCGAACUAAAAGUAUAAAGAAGAGCAGGAGCUUCAACUUUCGAACGUUGUUAACGGAGGGUUCCAACCGCUUCAUGCCAACAGCUGUUGCAGCACCUGAGGGAGCCAGAAACGUAAAGGAGAUAAAUUUCAACGGGGAUCUGCCUGUUUAAUCCUCAAUGAGGCCUGCUCGACGUGAUGAUAGUAAAUGGGGUCAAAUCGUGACCAUUGGCCACUACAGAUAGAAGUACUUGACUAACUAAGUUGCGGAUGAGGAUAGAUCGAACCCAGCCUGCGCAGCCGAAGUUGGGCUGCCAAGCGCUAGCGGCCUGGUGUGAUGCGGCCCAGAUCUGAUCAGGGCCCUGGAAAAUUUGAGCUGCCCAGAGAUCUAUUGGAAGACACGGGUGUUGAAGCACCAUCAUGCUAAGGCGUUCCAAGCAUUUAUAGGCGUCACACUGCAUAUCUUCAGUGUAUAUUAUACUAGCUAUGUAUUCUCCUCCCUCGUUUUUUCUCUGUCAUCAAGCUUAUAGCUUGCUAUAAUGGAGAAAGAGGGGGCUCAUUUUUAUCUCUAAGCCCCUCUCUUGCAACUAGGGUAAUGCUUGUUACAUAUGAGAAAGGGGGAGACUAGGUUUGUUUCAAAGCUCUUUUUUUUGCCUCCUACAACUAGUUCCAACUUUGCUGUUAAGAGUAGGAAGUGGAUUCUACAACAAGUAAUUAAAUGUUAUUAUAAUGUGUA